rnacentral:pre_miRNA from 1 species
AUGGUACUCCCUCCGUUCGGAAAUACUUGUCAUUGAAAUGGAUGUAUCUAGAUGUAUUUUAGUUGUAGAUACAUUCAUUUUCAUCCAUUUUGAUGACAAGUAAUUCCGGACGGAGGAAGUACAAA